GACGAACGCUGGCGGCGUGCUUAACACAUGCAAGUCGAACGGAAAGGCCCUGCUUUUGUGGGGUGCUCGAGUGGCGAACGGGUGAGUAACACGUGAGUAGCCUGCCCUUGACUUUGGGAUAACUUCAGGAAACUGGGGCUAAUACCGGAUAGGAGCUCCUGCUGCAUGGUGGGGGUUGGAAAGUUUCGGCGGUUGGGGAUGGACUCGCGGCUUAUCAGCUUGUUGGUGGGGUAGUGGCUUACCAAGGCUUUGACGGGUAGCCGGCCUGAGAGGGUGACCGGACACAUUGGGACUGAGAUACGGCCCAGACUCCUACGGGAGGCAGCAGUGGGGAAUAUUGCACAAUGGGCGGAAGCCUGAUGCAGCAACGCCGCGUGCGGGAUGACGGCCUUCGGGUUGUAAACCGCUUUCGCCUGUGACGAAGCGUGAGUGACGGUAAUGGGUAAAGAAGCACCGGCUAACUACGUG
rnacentral:rRNA from 1 species